ACUUGAAAACUACACAUGGUACAAGCCAAGAUGUCAGAGUAAAGUUUUCUGUUGUGGGUGUUAAUCAUUCUGUCCAGAGCUACGGUACAGAGAGUUUGCCAGCGAAUCCACAUGGCUGAUUUGAGUGGGUCUGCCAGAUGGUUGUUGUCCAACACUAACGUCUGUCUGGCAAAUGAAGCUCUGUGCAUGCCCUUUUCUGGUGAUCUUGCAUCAGACCUGCCAGUGAUUUGCAUACUGCUACUACCGCUCGUGGAGCUUCAAACAAUGAUUAUCUGUCGAUGGAUGGCCUACAUCUGGUGGUCAGGCUGAGGGGAGGGAGCAGUGGUGAGGCUGCCUCUCACCCGACUCACCAUCCCUCCUCUCUCUCUGAUGGUGAAACUCGAGUCAAGCCGCAUUAUUUCUGCCUCAUGCACCAAUUCCUGUUGUUACUCCUAUGACCAGAGAAAGUGAAAUAUAAAAAAAUACAACA